rnacentral:rRNA from 1 species
GGGACACGUGGUAUCCUGUCUGAAUAUGGGGGGACCAUCCUCCAAGGCUAAAUACUCCUGACUGACCGAUAGUGAACCAGUACCGUGAGGGAAAGGCGAAAAGAACCCCGGCGAGGGGAGUGAAAAAGAACCUGAAACCGUGUACGUACAAGCAGUGGGAGCCUCUUAAUGGGGUGACUGCGUACCUUUUGUAUAAUGGGUCAGCGACUUAUAUUCUGUAGCAAGGUUAACCGAAUAGGGGAGCCGAAGGGAAACCGAGUCUUAACUGGGCGUUAAGUUGCAGGGUAUAGACCCGAAACCCGGUGAUCUAGCCAUGGGCAGGUUGAAGGUUGGGUAACACUAACUGGAGGACCGAACCGACUAAUGUUGAAAAAUUAGCGGAUGACUUGUGGCUGGGGGUGAAAGGCCAAUCAAACCGGGAGAUAGCUGGUUCUCCCCGAAAGCUAUUUAGGUAGCGCCUCGUGAAUUCAUCUCCGGGGGUAGAGCACUGUUUCGGCAAGGGGGUCAUCCCGACUUACCAACCCGAUGCAAACUGCGAAUACCGGAGAAUGUUAUCACGGGAGACACACGGCGGGUGCUAACGUCCGUCGUGAAGAGGGAAACAACCCAGACCGCCAGCUAAGGUCCCAAAGUCAUGGUUAAGUGGGAAACGAUGUGGGAAGGCCCAGACAGCCAGGAUGUUGGCUUAGAAGCAGCCAUCAUUUAAAGAAAGCGUAAUAGCUCACUGGUCGAGUCGGCCUGCGCGGAAGAUGUAACGGGGCUAAACCAUGCACCGAAGCUGCGGCAGCGACACUAUGUGUUGUUGGGUAGGGGAGCGUUCUGUAAGCCUGUGAAGGUGGCCUGUGAGGGUUGCUGGAGGUAUCAGAAGUGCGAAUGCUGACAUAAGUAACGAUAAAGCGGGUGAAAAGCCCGCUCGCCGGAAGACCAAGGGUUCCUGUCCAACGUUAAUCGGGGCAGGGUGAGUCGACCCCUAAGGCGAGGCCGAAAGGCGUAGUCGAUGGGAAACAGGUUAAUAUUCCUGUACUUGGUGUUACUGCGAAGGGGGGACGGAGAAGGCUAUGUUGGCCGGGCGACGGUUGUCCCGGUUUAAGCGUGUAGGCUGGUUUUCCAGGCAAAUCCGGAAAACCAAGGCUGAGGCGUGAUGACGAGGCACUACGGUGCUGAAGCAACAAAUGCCCUGCUUCCAGGAAAAGCCUCUAAGCAUCAGGUAACAUCAAAUCGUACCCCAAACCGACACAGGUGGUCAGGUAGAGAAUACCAAGGCGCUUGAGAGAACUCGGGUGAAGGAACUAGGCAAAAUGGUGCCGUAACUUCGGGAGAAGGCACGCUGAUAUGUAGGUGAAGUCCCUCGCGGAUGGAGCUGAAAUCAGUCGAAGAUACCAGCUGGCUGCAACUGUUUAUUAAAAACACAGCACUGUGCAAACACGAAAGUGGACGUAUACGGUGUGACGCCUGCCCGGUGCCGGAAGGUUAAUUGAUGGGGUUAGCGGUAACGCGAAGCUCUUGAUCGAAGCCCCGGUAAACGGCGGCCGUAACUAUAACGGUCCUAAGGUAGCGAAAUUCCUUGUCGGGUAAGUUCCGACCUGCACGAAUGGCGUAAUGAUGGCCAGGCUGUCUCCACCCGAGACUCAGUGAAAUUGAACUCGCUGUGAAGAUGCAGUGUACCCGCGGCAAGACGGAAAGACCCCGUGAACCUUUACUAUAGCUUGACACUGAACAUUGAGCCUUGAUGUGUAGGAUAGGUGGGAGGCUUUGAAGUGUGGACGCCAGUCUGCAUGGAGCCGACCUUGAAAUACCACCCUUUAAUGU